UUAGGGGUGAAAGGCCAAUCAAACUCGGAAAUAGCUCGUACUCCCCGAAAUGCAUUUAGGUGCAGCGUUAGUUAUAAAGUUAUAUAGAGGUAGAGCUACUGAUUGGAUGCGGGGGCUUCACCGCCUACCAAUUCCUGACAAACUCCGAAUGCUAUAUAAUGUUUACCAGCAGUGAGGGCUUGGGUGCUAAGGUCCAAGUCCGAGAGGGAAAGAACCCAGACCAUCAGCUAAGGUCCCCAAAUCUAUACUAAGUUGAAAGAACGAGGUUUGUCUGCCCAGACAGCUAGGAUGUUGGCUUGGAAGCAGCCAUUCAUUUAAAGAGUGCGUAACAGCUCACUGGUCGAGGGUUCGGGCGCGGAAAAUGAUCGGGCAUCAAACGUAGUACCGAAGCUAUAGGAUUAUACUCUAGGAGUAUAAUCGGUAGGAGAGCAUUCUAAUCAGCGUCGAAGGUGUACUGUGAGGUAUGCUGGAGCGAUUAGAAAAGAAAAUGUAGGAAUGAGUAACGAUAAUUAAGGUGAAAAACCUUAACGCCGAAAGACUAAGGGUUCCUGAUCAACGUUAAUCGGAUCAGGGUUAGUCGGGUACUUAGGCGAAGCCGAAGGGCGUAGCUGAUGUCAAACUGGUUAAUAUUCCAGUACGUGUAUUAAAUUCGAUGGAGUAACGCAGGAGUGAAAGGUCCGCGAACUGACGGAAUAGUUCGUUAAAGGGCGUAGUUAUAAGAUUUAUAGGCAAAUCCGUAGAUCUUGAUGAAACCUGAUAGUACAACAAAGCCUCGGCUAAGUUGAUAGUGACCGUAACCAGACUGCCGAGAAAAACUUCUAAGGUUCGUUUAAUACACCCCGUACCGUAAACCGACACAGGUAGUUGAGGAGAGAAUCCUAAGGUGCUCGAGAGAUUCAUGGCUAAGGAAUUAGGCAAAAUAGACCUGUAACUUCGGGAGAAAGGUCGCCCACAGCAAUGUGGGCCGCAGUGAAGAGGUCCAGGCGACUGUUUAUCAAAAACACAGGGCUCUGCAAAAUCGUAAGAUGAAGUAUAGGGCCUGACACCUGCCCGGUGCUGGAAGGUUAAGAGGAGAUGUUAUCUUCGGAGAAGCAUUGAAUUGAAGCCCCAGUAAACGGCGGCCGUAACAAUAACGGUCCUAAGGUAGCGAAAUUCCUUGUCGGGUAAGUUCCGACCUGCACGAAUGGCGUAACGACUUCUCCGGUGUCUCAACCAAGGGCCUCGCGAAAUUGAAUUCUCGGUGAAAAUGCCGAGUACCCGCAGAAAGACGGAAAGACCCCGUGAACCUUUACUGUAGCUUGACAGUGAUUUUAGAGUUUUUAUGUGUAGGAUAGGUGGGAGCCUUUGAAGCUGAGUCGCUAGGUUUAGUGGAGGCAACCUUGAAAUACCACCCUUAAAAACUUUGAAGUCUAACCUGCUCUUCUUAGCGAAGAGAGGGACACUGUCUGGUGGGCAGUUUGACUGGGGCGGUCGCCUCCCAAAGUGUAACGGAGGCGCGCGAUGGUCCCCUCAGCCUGAUUGGAAACCAGGCGUCGAGUGCAUUGGCAUAAGGGGGCUUGACUGCAAGACUUACAAGUCGAGCAGGUGCGAAAGCAGGCCAAAGUGAUCCGGUGGUCCCGCGUGGAAGGGCCAUCGCUCAACGGA
rnacentral:rRNA from 1 species